rnacentral:tRNA from 1 species
GCGGGAGUAGCUCAGUGGUAGAGCACAACCUUGCCAAGGUUGGGGUCGCGGGUUCGAAACCCGUCUCCCGCUCCA